rnacentral:rRNA from 1 species
AUUGAACGCUGGCGGCAGGCCUAACACAUGCAAGUCGAACGAGUGGCGGACGGGUGAGUAAUGUCUGGGAAACUGCCUGUUGGAGGGGGUUAACUACUGGAAACGGUAGCUAAUACCGCAUACCAUCAGAUGUGCCCAGAUGGGAUUAGCUUGUUGGUGGGGUAACGGCUCACCAAGGCUACGAUCCCUAGCUGGUCUGAGAGGACGACCAGCCAAACUGGAACUGGGACACGGUCCGGACGCCUACGGUAGGCAGCAGUGGGGAAUAUUGCACAAUGGGCGCAAGCCUGAUGCAGCCCUGCCGCGUGUAUGAAGAAGGCCUUCGGGUUGUAAAGUACUUUCAGCGGGGAGGCGUUACCCGCAGAAGAAGCACCGGCUAACUCCGUGCCAGCAGCCGCGGUAAUUC